rnacentral:rRNA from 1 species
GUGAGGAAUAUUGGACAAUGGGCGCAAGCCUGAUCCAGCCAUGCCACGUGCAGGAAGACGCAUCUAUGGUGUGUAAACUGCUUUUGUACGGGAAGAAACACUCCCUCGUGAGGGAGCUUGACGGUACCGUAAGAAUAAGGAUCGGCUAACUCCGUGCCAGCAGCCGCGGUAAUACGGAGGAUCCAAGCGUUAUCCGGAAUCAUUGGGUUUAAAGGGUCCGUAGGCGGUUUAAUAAGUCAGUGGUGAAAGCCCAUCGCUCAACGAUGGAACGGCCAUUGAUACUGUUAGACUUGAAUUACAAGGAAGUAACUAGAAUAUGUAGUGUAGCGGUGAAAUGCUUAGAUAUUACAUGGAAUACCAAUUGCGAAGGCAGGUUACUACUUGUGGAUUGACGCUGAUGGACGAAAGCGUGGGGAGCGAACAGGAUUAGAUACCCGAGUAGUCC